UCCUCGCGUCUUGUCCACUCAGCCUCACGUCUGGGUCAUGUGAACGUGCCAGCCGCUGGGAAUCAUUUCAGCAGGACUCGGGAUGCGUGUGUGUGUGAAGGAGGGAGGAGCCGUUCGUACGCAUCGGUUUCCCGGGGUCACCUGUUCUCUCUCUCCUCGCCUUCCCUCGCUGCAAUCGCCGCCACCGUCUUGGGCACCUCCAGGAAGCGGGCGGUGGUUCUUUGCAACAUUCCCAAUCGGGGCCAUUUGCGCCCCCUCCGCAGAAGCGACGGUCGGCUGGCAAAAUCCUGCCAGUCCUCCACCCCCGCCCGCCCGGGCGCCCCUCCCCGCUAGAUUCCUACGAGGCUCCAGCGUUGGGUGGGGGCAUCGAUGUUUGCCAUGUGCCAACCGGAAUUCCCCCUCCAUCCACAGCUCGGUGAAGUCCAGGGAAAUUCACAGCAGGAUGUGAUCUACCGUAACAAAAAGGACUCCCAUCCAGACAAGAACCUCAACUUCAUGGAUGAGAAGUCCUCUGAUAGCAACGAAAACUGGAGCCAACCCAUAUCAAAGGUGCAGAUACCAGAGGAAUGGGAACAAUGGAAUGACAAUGGGAUAAAGAAGGCAUCUGAGAAUCUGACUGAUCUAAUACACCGACAGAAAGCAAAGAAUCGCUCCAGAGGCAUUUCUCAGAACCUAAAGUCUGAUAACAAAUUCCUGGGCUUAGAGGAGGAGGAGGACAGAGAAGAGGAGGACAUCCGUAGACCACCUGAAGGUGCUGAGGUCAGGAGUCCAGAACAAGAGACCAACUACCAGGUGAAGGUAAAGGUAAGAGGGAAACUGGCCAGUUCCCCUCGAGAAGAUAAUGGUUAUUCCAGAAGUCGUUGGAUUGAUGGCCCUGAAAGUGAUGGCACCAAAGUUUGGAAGAUACCUUCUGUUACCGAUGAAGACUGGACAUGUAAUGCUAAGCAGCAAGCCUCCAAUGUUGAUUUUGACAGCUCUUCCUCCUCUAGUUCUGAGACCUUCUCCCCAGCACUGGCAGAAGCUUUCAGGGACAUGCAGGAGAUGAAGAAGUUCAAAGAGUUGGAGAAACAGAAAUAUCACAGCCACUUAGUGAUGUAUCGCCGCCUGGCUUUGCUACGUUGGAUUCGCAGCCUCCAGCAGAAGGUUGCUGAGCAGCAAAAUCAACUGCAGGAGAGCUUUGACACUAUCCUGGACAACCGCAAACAACUUAUUCGACAUGUGCAGCAAGGCAUGGUGCACACUAAAACCCCAACUUAGGGAGAAUUGUAAAAAAACAGCCCCCCCCUCCAUCUCUUCAUUUCUUAGUUUGGCCUCCCAAAUAAGGAUCAUCAGGAUCAUGGCUUGUUUGCAAUUUGCCCCAGUGGAUUUUUCUCACGUUUGAUUGUUCCUCCUAGAACAGGGGUCUCCAACCUUGUCAGCUUUAGGACUUGUGGACUUCAAGUUCCAGAAUUCCUCAGCAAGCUUUGCUGGCUGAGGAAUUCUGGGAGUUGAAGUCCACAAGUCAAAGUUGACAAGGUUGGAGACCCCUGUCCUAGAACACAUCAGAAAAUUAUCAGCAAGUUAAUCAUAGACACUCCAAGACAUAUUAUUUAUGUGGACACAUACUUUUUCCCCAAGAUAUUUUCCAAGAUGCAUCACUUUUGGGGGUGAAUGUAUUAUAAAUACAACUUCCAGCGAUAUGAAAUAAGAGAUGCAGUUAUGAUGAUGAGUAGACCCUAUGGUCAUGGAGAAAAACUGAAAAAUCAUGAGCAUAUAGGCUUAUAAAAUACCUGCCAACCAUCUGAGAUGGAAAGAAACUUGAAAUGGGAACUUUGUGAGUCAGUUAUCAAGUCUUGUGCUACUACCUGGAUAGAAUGAUACAAACCAUGAUACAACUUGCAUGGCAUGACAUCCUUAUGAUACACAAGAUGAUUCCAUCAUUAAUAGAAGUACAGAUAUACGGAUAUACAUUUCCAGUAAUGGAUAUCGCGUUGCAGAAGUCCUCAAACUGAUUUUUUAAAAAAACAUUUAUGAUUCAUCUGUGAGAUGAAGAGACUUGUCUGUUGCUUUUCUAUAUUUUUUUUAACAGAAGAAAUGUAUUGCAAAGUAUAAUAUAGGAUAAUGAUGUAAACUGACUUUACUGAUUGUAGCAUUUGGAUAAUUAUUGCUAUCAUUCGUACAAAUCAGGAGUGAUAUGCAUGUUCUUUGAAAGAAGAUAAAAAUGUCUGUAUUUGCAGACAUCUUGAUUAGUAAGUCCCUACCAAAGGCAUUUUGUGGAUAAAAGGAAUAAGAUUAUAGAGUGAGAAUGCAGGUGACAAUACGUUGGAUGUGAAAUUUCCAUAGAUUUUGUUUGUAUUUUGUCUAAACAGAUGCUAUUCAGGUAGUCCUUCACUUUUGACUAUUUGAGCUCGCAAUUUCAGUCAUAAAGUGGGUCACCCUACGAGCAUGCCCAAUUUUACAAUCUUUUGGUACUGAACACUAAGCAAACACUCUGGUUGUACAGCAAACACCAUGGUUGUUAAGUGAACACUGCAGUAAUUAAGCAAACCCAUUGUUUAUUAUGAGAUGGUUUUUGCAGGAAUUGGAAAUAAACACUGGCUUUCAGCAAAUAUGGUAUAGGUGCUGCAAAUGUUCACAAAUGCAGGGUGGUUGCCAAGUGCCCCAAAUGCAGUCAUGUGACUGUGCGAGAUGUGGGAAUGGGACAUCAGAAUUUUGAAUCCAGCUCAUAAGUCCCUUUUUCAGGGUUCAUCAUAACUUUGAAAAUGAUGGUCUUAAAUAACUGAUUAUAAAUUGAGGACUACCUAUACCAGGGGUCUGCAAACUUGGCUCUUUUAAGACUUGUGGAUUUCAACUCCCAGAGCUGGCUGAGGAACUCUGGGAGUUGAAGUCCAGAAGUCUUAAAAGAGCCAAGUUUGCAGACCCUGACCUAAUACCAUAAGGUUUCCUUAUUAGGAGAGACGUUGUUGGGCAUACUGGUUGCAUUUUAUAAUAAUUCUUUGCGUAUGUGAAGAUUGAGAUUGCUACAGUUUAGAUAGGGUUCACCAAGCCUAUUCCGUAAAGCAGAGGUCUCCAAACCUGGUAACCUCAAGACUUGUAGACUUCAACUCCCAGAAUUCCGCAGCCAGCAAGUCCACAAGUCUGCCAAGUUUGGAGACUUCUGCCAUAAAGGACCAGGUCUUGCCUCUCUUCUACCACUGUGGCUGGCAGGUCUGCAGGCCAAAGAGCAUGGUAACUAUUGGAAGACUCUGACCUGUCAGGAAGGAGGAUGCUGAUAGACUGCCCCUCCCCAGGAUGGCUUGGCCACUAUCUUUGCCUCAGGAGUUUGGCUCAGACUCAGAUCUGGCAAUCUGCCAGCUGUCUGCCUCUCAAUUCUUAAUUUGUAGGCCAGAUGGUAGGCUAGAUUUGGCCUGAAGCAGUGGUGAAAUCAAAUUUUUUUUUUACUAUCGGUUCUGUGGGCAUAGCUUGGUGGGCGUAAUGUGGUGGGCAUGGCAGGGGAAGGGUAUUGCAAAAUCUCCAUUCUCUCCCCCACUCCAGGGGAAGGAUACUGCAAAAUCCCCAUUCCCUCCCCACUCCUGGGGGAAGGAUACUGCAAAAUCUCCAUUCCCACCCCACUCCUGGGGAAGAAUACUGCAAAAUACAUUCCCUCCUCACUCCAGGGGAAGGAUAUUGCAAAAUCUCCAUUCAUUCCCCUGGGGCCAGCCAGAGGUGGUAUUUGCUGGUUCUCCAAACUACUCAAAAUUUCCGCUACCGGUUCUCUGAACUGCUUAAAAUUUCCAUUACUGGUUCUCCGAACUACUCAAAAUUUCCGCUACCAGUUCUCUGAACUGCUCAAAAUUUCCGCUAUUGGCUCUCCUAACUAUUCAAAAUUUCUGCUACCGGUUCUCCAGAAUCUUUCAGAACCUGCUGGAUUUCAUCUUUGGCCUGGAGACCAUCGUUUGCUGACCCUGAUUUAGAAGAUGGCACUGGUAAAAAUGAAGGAAAACUUGCAUUAGUGUCAGUAUGAUUGCUCUAAACUGAUUUUAAAAUGUUUGUUUCUUACUGAAGAAUCCUGGGAAAUAUCACUCUUGGGGAGUCAGCCUCUCUAUCAGAUUACUGCCGCUUUGCCCAGAUACAAUUCCCAGGAUUUAUUCCCGGAAGCCAGGAUUUUUAAAUGGUAAAAGGGUUAUUAGAUGUAUAGAUGUUUAUUGCUUUUUAUGUGCAAUGAUUAUGCAUAUCCAUGGCUUAUUUUUUAAAUUUAAAAUAAAAGUCUCAUACUGAACUUUGGUGAGUGAUGCUGAAGCAGGAAAACACAGUGCUUUUAGCUGGAGAGUGAAUCUUUCCCACAUGCCAUCCCAGACAUGCAUUAAGAAUGGCAAAAUUCUGUUAUUUUAAUUGUGCAAUGAAAGUAAAGUUGUGUUGGCCUACAUGGAUUGGUUUCUUAGUUUGAUCUAGCUUGAAGAGCUGACAUAUACUCAGCAAUCAGCUGGAGCAAUAGCUAGGUUCACCAGGCUCUGCUAUCUGUCUUAAGACCUUAGCUGUUGAUAGGCAGGUGGUAGAGCAGCAUUUUUCAAACCUAACAACGGUUAAGACAGGUGGACUGAGUGGGGAAUUCUGGGAGUUAAAGUCCACCUGUAUUAACAGAGCAACAUCCUGUGACUUCCUGCAGGGAGCUGUCCAAGGUCUUAAGGCUUCUGCAAGAGCUUAAGAGUUCGUAUCAUUCUCUCUGACUGACCUCAACCAGCCAGGAUGCUUUGAGUUGGAGCAUUCCUCAGGCUAAUAUUUGGGCAGUGUCAUAUACUAGUUAAGAUAUUGUAUUAGGAUUGUGGAGAGUCUAAAAGUGAGAAUGGAAGCUUAUUGAGUAGCUUUGGUUAAUUAUUAUCUUUCCAAUCUUGUUGGAAAAGAAAAAAUAAUCUGAGGAAGGAGGGCUACAUAGUACCCCAUGAGCUCUUGUUGAAAAGGUGGUGUAUCAAUCUAAUAAUAAUAAUAAGAAGAAAUAGAAAAUACCAAAGAACAGAAAAUGCCAAGCAAUGGUAUUAACAAGUUGAAUUAGUAAGCCGAACGUAAGGGACUAUUAGGGACAAACUCAGAAUUGUGACUCUAUAAAUGAAUUUUCAGCCCCUGUUUAUUAGUAAUUUCACUGAGGCAAAAUCUUUUGAAAUGUUCUUAUUUUUCCCCAGAUUUCUGGGCACCUACUCUUAGGUGUCCUUUAUAAUAUGAGAGACCAACAAAUUCAAUUUCAUGGUUGUUUGGUUGUUUAUCUCAAUGAUUUUCCUCAGCCAACUUCCCUCCUGUCCAACUUAGAAGUAAGGAGAAAUUUUCUGACAGUGAGAGCAGUUAAUCAAUGGAACAGCUUGCCUCUUGGGGUUGUGGGUACUCCAUCACUGGAGGUUUUCAAGAACACACUGGACAACCAUUUGAUUGGGACUUUUGCCUUGAUCAGGGGGUUGGUCUAGAAGACCUUUGAGGUCCCUUCCAGUCCUAUGAGUCUAUGAGUCUAUGUCUUCUAUAUGCCUGGGCAACCUUCCCCCAAAUUCUACAAAGGGACGGGACAGUUGUGCAAUAAGGACUUGAUGUGAAAGCACCACUAAUGUAUGUAACACUGACUCUAGACUCAGUUAAAUAAAACUUGGCAACACUUCAAAUGUGUGAACUUCAAUUCUCAGAAUUCCCAAGCCAGCAUUGAAACAUCUUAAAGCUACCAUGUUUAAAAAUCACUGCUCUAAUCCUUAAAUUCACUGAAUCCAUCUGUCUCAAAAGCAUUGUCUUAUCUAUCUGUUGAAUGCAUUGUCUUGGCAGAUUGCAUCUCACCAGGCUCAAGGUUGACUCAGCCUUCCAUCCUUCCGAGGUGGGUAAAAUGAGGACCCAGAUUGUUGGGGGCAAGAGGCUGACUCUGUAAACCACUUAGAGAGGGCUGUAAAGCACUCUUAAGUGCUAUUGCUUAUCUAUCAAUGACUAUAAGUAAUAGAGGAUAUUUAUAAUUUAAUAGAAACCACUACUAAAAAAAGAAUAUGUCCCUUAGGUUCCCCAAAGAUAAUUCUUGCCGCAGGCUUAAUUUAAAUGAAAGAAAGAAAGACAAUAUUGCCAGAAGAUGGAACUAUUUUUGAAUUCAAAGUUUGAAAAUAAUAUGAGGAUAUAAAUAUUUUUCACUCAUGCUACUGUUUUUAUUGUUUUAUGGCUUUUACAGCUUUUAACAUUUUAUAUAACCAUGAUCCAACCAGAGAUAGCACUGACUGAAAAUAUAAUAUGCAGUGCAGCUACUGCCAAAGCUUUUAAUAUUUGGAAAGGAUUUUUCGGAUAAUUCAGAAAUAACCCAUCUAAAAUGGCAGCAAAAGGAAAAAGAGAGAAAAAGGGAUUUAUUCUCUGCUUUAAAUAAUGCUAUAAUGUAUUUCCUGUAAAUGCUCUUGCACAAAUAUUUAUUUUUAAAACAUUGCCAAAUCACUGUUUUAGUUUCUAAAAGCAAUGUUGAUAAAAACAGUUGAUGUAAUGAGACCUGCCAGGAAGAAAACCUAUGCUAAUUGGAAAUAGAUUAACUUUUCCAAAAUAACACAGUGCUAAAAAUCUACCUGGCAGUUUCUCACAUUUUCUUUCCCUGCCAAAAAUGGCUUUUCAUUUUUAUCUUCUGCUUGGAACACCUGAACAUUCCUUUAGAUUAAUGUCCCUUAGCAAUGCUUUUGAGUUUAAUUUAUUGGUGGAGGUGGAAAAGGAAGUGCUAUCAGAAAGACGCUUCCGUGCUGCCAUUGGGACAGCAUUUGUGGCCAAAGCAUUUGGCAAAUCCAUUCUUAGAAAUCUAUGAGGUUGCCACCAUCAAUACUGGUAGUCCUUGACUUACAAACUUUCAUUUAGUGACCAUUUGAAGUUACAAGGCAGUGAUGAAAUCCAAUUUUUUUUACUACCGGUUCUGUGGGCGUGGCAGGGGAAGGAUACUGCAAAAUCUCCAUUCCCUACCCACUCCAAGGGAAGGAUACUGCAAAAUCCCCAUUCCCUCCCCACUCCUGGGGGAAGGAUACUGCAAAAUCCCCAUUCCCAUCCCACUCCUGUGGGAAGGAUAUUGCAAAAGCUCCAUUCCCUCCCUACUCCUGGGGGAAGGAUAUUGGAAAAUCUCCAUUCUCACCGCACUCUGGGGUUAGCCGGAGGUGGUAUUUGCCUUUUCUCCGAACUACUCAACAUUUCUGCUACCAAGUCUUCAGAACCUGUCAGAACCUGCUGGAUUUCACCCCUGUUAGAAGGGCACUGAAAAAGUGAGUUAUGACUGUUUUUCACACUUACGACCGUUGCAGCAUCUCCACAAUCACAUUAUCAAAAUUUGGAUGCUUAGUAACUGACUCAUACUUCUGACUGUUGAGGUGUCCCGGCUUCAUGUGGUCAUCUUCUGCAACCUUCUGACAAAGUCAAUGGAGAAGCCAGAUUUACUUAACAACUGUAGUGGUUCUCUUAACAACUGUGGCAAGAAAGAUCGUAAAAUGGGGCAAAACUCACUUAAAAAAUGUCUUGUUUAUCAAUGGAAAUUUGGGGCUCAAUUGUAAGUCAAGGAUUAGCUGUAUUGUGUACCCAAUUCCAAUCCUUAAGAGCAUGUACUGUACUACUGUUGUGUCUUGCCCGCCCUCAGAGCAGCCGGGGCCUUCUUACCUGCUCCCCAACACUGAGGAAUGUAUGCCUUCCGGCCCAAGUCCUGGCUCCAUGCCCCCACAAACUGCAGAAGAAGGAGCAUCUCCCUGCCCCAGCCCUGACUCCAUGCCCAGGCAAACGGAGCAGCUAGACCCCUCCCCCUCCUCCACAGCAGGUGAGCCUGAGGAGGGUUUACUCCCAAGAACAGCUGAUUGGAGUGACCCUCGCAUCAGAAGAUUGGAGAGGCGGAGGCAACAGAGGGAAGGGAGGGGCAGGCCUUAAUGAGUGCUGAGUCAUGGAGCCACACCCCAUGGCCUAUAUAAAGGAGCUACUUUCUGGCAGUCUCUGAGUCAGGCAAAAGUCAAACUUAUCUUGCUGAAGUCACUUACUGGUCUCCUGCCUGCUCUGAGGACUUUGCUAGGACUUUGGGCAGAGCUGCAGAGGCAAGCCUGAUUCGGAUUUCCCGGACCCAGCCGUCAGCGGAGGAGUGGGACACGACAACGGCUUAGUUCAGGUCCAGCCAAUCUUUCCCAGUUAUUUACUCCAUCUUCUUGACCUGGUCUCACUCCACUACUGAUUCAGAAUCUUUGUCAGUCUGACAAGAACUUCAGGUGUUGGAAAGAGACAGUCAGCCCUUACGAGAUCUUCACCACCUGUGACAUAUGCCUGCUUUUUUUCCCCGCAAUACAAGCCUGGACCUCCUUAAAAUAUUGAUGGUGCCAAUUAUUGGGCUCCAUCUCUCUGUUGUUUUAGAAACCUUCAAAGCUGCCCAUCCAGUGAUGGAAUUCAAUUUUUUUUUACUACCGGGUUUGUGGGUGUGGCUUGGUGGCCAUGGUGUGGCUUGGUAGGCGUGGCUUGGUGGACGUGGCAGGGGAAGGAUACUCCAAAAUCCCCAUUCCUUCCCCACUCCUGGGGGAAGGACAUUGCAAAAUCUCCAUUCCCACCCCACUCUGGGGCCAGCCAGAGGUGGUAUUUGCUGGUUCUCUGGACUACUCAAAAUUUCCACUACCGGUUCUCCAGAACCUGUCAGAAUCUGCUGAAUAGCACCCCUGUGCCCAUCCUUUCUAUCUUGAAAAAGCCAGUGGGCAAAAUCUACUUUUGUGGUUCUUUUCCUUGAUUUGAAUGGAUCUGUGGGAAGCCAGAGGGCUGGAGAGAGCCCAAGAGGGAGGACUGGAUGAUAAAGAUAAGACACUCAUGCCCAGCCCUUGGUCACUUGAUUUCUAAAUAUCUGUCUUGGCAUGACAUCAUGGUUCACUCAACCCAGUUUUCUGGGUUCUCAUGACACACUGAACCAUAAACUAGCCACAGGAACUGAGUUUGUACACACCAGUAGCUAAAACGUAACAGUUGAGCAUUCCUUUAG